UACGGAGGAUGCAAGCGUUAUCCGGAAUUAUUGGGCGUAAAGCGUCCGCAGGUGGUUAUCCAAGUCUGCUGUUAAAGCGCGAGGCUUAACUUCGUACAGGCAGUGGAGACUGGGUGACUGGAGUAUGGUAGGGGUAGCGGGAAUUCCCAGUGUAGCGGUGAAAUGCGUAGAUAUUGGGAAGAACACCAGCGGCGAAAGCGCGCUACUGGGCCAUUACUGACACUCAUGGACGAAAGCUAGGGGAGCGAAAGGG
rnacentral:rRNA from 1 species